rnacentral:misc_RNA from 1 species
UUUCCGUAGGUGAACCUGCGGAAGGAUCAUUACAGUAGUCAACCAGGUUGCCGCAAUGCCUCCUGGGUAACCUACCACCCUUUGUUGAUUACACUUUGUUGCUUUGGCAAGCCUGCCCUCGCGCUGCUGGCUCCGGCCGGCGAGCGCUUGCCAGAGGACCUAAACUCUGUUUGUCUAUACUGUCUGAGUACUAUAUAAUAGUUAAAACUUUCAACAACGGAUCUCUUGGUUCUG